AACCAUAGAAACCUGCGGAGUACCUGCGGAGGGAUCAUUAACGAAUGGUCUUUGUACCUUCAAAACCCCUCAAACCAGUGGACAUGAAAAUGUGCUUCGGCGCUCUGGCGCCGCUUUUAUGCUGUAAUUCUGUCAUUUGUGUCUGAAUGCAAAGCAAAGAAUCAAAACUUUUAGCAACGGAUCU
rnacentral:misc_RNA from 1 species